rnacentral:rRNA from 1 species
AACGCGAAGAACCUUACCGGGGUUUGACAUGCACGCGCACCGCCCAGAGAUGGGCGUGCCCGCAAGGGACGCGUGCACAGGUGCUGCAUGGCUGUCGUCAGCUCGUGCCGUGAGGUGUUGGGUUAAGUCCCCCAACGAGCGCAACCCCUAUCGUUGGUUGUAUUUUUCCAGCGAAACUGCCCGCAAGGGAGGAAGGAGGGGAUGACGUCAAGUCAGCACGGCCCUUACAUCCCGGGCUACACACACGCUACAAUGGCUGGUACAAUGGGCCGCCAACCCGCAAGGGGGAGCCAAUCCCAGCAAAGCCAGCCUCAGUUCAGAUUGGCGGCUGCAACCCGCCGCCAUGAAGGUGGAGUUGCUAGUAACCGCAGGUCAGCACACUGCGGUGAAUACGUUCCCGGGCCUUGUACACACCGAGACGAC